rnacentral:rRNA from 1 species
GAACGAACGCUGGCGGCAUGCCUAACACAUGCAAGUCGAACGAUGCUUUCGGGCAUAGUGGCGCACGGGUGCGUAACGCGUGGGAAUCUGCCCUUUGGUUCGGAAUAACAGUUAGAAAUGACUGCUAAUACCGGAUGAUGACGUCAAGUCCAAAGAUUUAUCGCCAGAGGAUGAGCCCGCGUAGGAUUAGCUGGUUGGUGUGGUAAAGGCGCACCAAGGCGACGAUCCUUAGCUGGUCUGAGAGGAUGAUCAGCCACACUGGGACUGAGACACGGCCCAGACUCCUACGGGAGGCAGCAGUGGGGAAUAUUGGACAAUGGGCGCAAGCCUGAUCCAGCAAUGCCGCGUGAGUGAUGAAGGCCUUAGGGUUGUAAAGCUCUUUUACCCGGGAUGAUAAUGACAGUACCGGGAGAAUAAGCCCCGGCUAACUCC